GCACUCUCUGUAGGGCAGCCCUUAGGGCAGCUGGAGAGCUGCUCCCAAAAAAGACUGAUCCCCAGCCUCUCCCUUCCUUCUUUGCAGUAAGAACCUCACAUGGCGGGACAUGCAACACCUGGUGGUACAGACCUCGAAGCCAGCCCACCUCAACGCCAACGACUGGGCCACCAAUGGUGUGGGCCGGAAAGUGAGCCACUCAUAUGGCUACGGGCUUUUGGACGCAGGCGCCAUGGUGGCCCUGGCCCAGAAUUGGACCACAGUAGCCCCCCAGCGGAAGUGCAUCAUCGACAUCCUCACCGAGCCCAAGUGAGGGCUGGACCCAGGCUGGGAGGGGGCCAGUGGAACCUGAGAGUCGCAGGGGGUGCCCGCUGGUCCCUUUGGGCCAGGCUGACCAUCAUGGUGCUUUCCUGCACAGAGA
rnacentral:sRNA from 1 species